GUGGGGAAUACUGGACAAUGGGCGAAAGCCUGAUCCAGCCAUGCCGCGUGUGUGAAGAAGGUCUUCGGAUUGUAAAGCACUUUAAGUUGGGAGGAAGGGCAGUAAGUUAAUACCUUGCUGUUUUGACGUUACCGACAGAAUAAGCACCGGCUAACUUCGUGCCAGCAGCCGCGGUAAUACGAAGGGUGCAAGCGUUAAUCGGAAUUACUGGGCGUAAAGCGCGCGUAGGUGGUUUUGUAAGUUGGAGGUGAAAUCCCCGGGCUCAACCUGGGAACUGCCUCCAAAACUGCAUGACUAGAGUACGGUAGAGGGUAGUGGAAUUUCCUGUGUAGCGGUGAAAUGCGUAGAUAUAGGAAGGAACACCAGUGGCGAAGGCGACUACCUGGACUGAUACUGACACUGAGGUGCGAAAGCGUGGGGAGCAAACAGGAUUAGAAACCCCGGUAGUCC
rnacentral:rRNA from 1 species